rnacentral:lncRNA from 1 species
ACAUCUAAAAAUAGGUCUGGGAGAGGUGACUGCCGAGGCGGCCAUCCUGCUUGGCCAGCUGAAGGUUUGAGACUCAGGAUGGGGUCAUGGCUGAGACUAUGAGGGCUGCUCGUGCAUGACCCUGCCUGCUGGCCUCCAUGGGCCCACUAUCUGAAUGUGGUUACCCUUCUCCCCAGGACCAGGUGCCACCUCCUCUGGGAAGCUUUCCCUGCCCGUCCACAGGGUAUGCCUCCUUGUUCCUCUCCUGCCAUCGGUUUACGUGCCUGUCUCCAUCAACAGACCAGGAGCUCCUGAGGACAGGGACUGAGUCUGCCUGAUUCAUCUCUGCAUUCCUAGCACUUACCUUGGUGCUUAGUGAAAGCUCGAACCUGCCUGGGUUCCCACCUUGUCUCUGCUACCCCCAGCUCUGUGAACUCAGAGUCAUUUUUCUCUCCCCGAGUGGCACCGGGCUCAGCAGACACUCUGGCCAUGAAGGCAUCUUCUGACUCAAGCAGGUCUAGAUGUCUACCCCCAAGGAAUCCCAGAACAGUUGAUCUCUCUUUUUAUUUUUUUAUUUUUUGAGAUGGAGUUUUGCUCUUGUUGCCCAGGCUGGAGUGCAAUGGCGUGAUCUCGGCUCACUGCAACCUCUGCCUCCCAGGUUCAAGCAAUUCUCCUGCCUCAGCCUCCCGAGUAGCUGGGAUUAUAGGCAUGCACCACCACGCCCAGAGCCAACUACUAAGCCUGUAGCAGCCUCCCAAACUGCCCAGUCUUGUUCAGAUGCACCUCCAGAAACACAGGGGUCCAAAAUGCCCCUUCCCAGACACCCUGAGGAGUAGAACAGUGCCAGCAGGCUCCAGGGAUGAGGGACUAGCUACCACAUUCCCUUUCCCAAGCCUCAGUUUCCCCACCUGUAAGAUGAGGGAUAUGGGCUCUGACUUUCUGAGUUUGGAAAAUAAAGUGCUCCCCAAACUGGGCUGCUUUCUCUGCC